UUUUCAAGAGUUUGAUUCAUGGCUCAGGAUGAACGCUGGCGGCGUGCCUAAUACAUGCAAGUCGAGCGAACUGACGAGGAGCUUGCUCCUUUGACGUUAGCGGCGGACGGGUGAGUAACACGUGGGUAACCUACCUAUAAGACUGGAAUAACUCCGGGAAACCGGGGCUAAUGCCGGAUAACAUAUCGAACCGCAUGGUUCGAUAGUGAAAGACGGUCUUGCUGUCACUUAUAGAUGGACCCGCGCCGUAUUAGCUAGUUGGUGAGGUAACGGCUCACCAAGGCAACGAUACGUAGCCGACCUGAGAGGGUGAUCGGCCACACUGGAACUGAGACACGGUCCAGACUCCUACGGGAGGCAGCAGUAGGGAAUCUUCCGCAAUGGGCGAAAGCCUGACGGAGCAACGCCGCGUGAGUGAUGAAGGUCUUCGGAUCGUAAAGCUCUGUUGUUAGGGAAGAACAAAUGUGUAAGUAACUGUGCACAUCUUGACGGUACCUAACCAGAAAGCCACGGCUAACUACGUGCCAGCAGCCGCGGUAAUACGUAGGUGGCAAGCGUUAUCCGGAAUUAUUGGGCGUAAAGCGCGCGUAGGCGGUUUUUUAAGUCUGAUGUGAAAGCCCACGGCUCAACCGUGGAGGGUCAUUGGAAACUGGAAAACUUGAGUGCAGAAGAGGAAAGUGGAAUUCCAUGUGUAGCGGUGAAAUGCGCAGAGAUAUGGAGGAACACCAGUGGCGAAGGCGGCUUUCUGGUCUGUAACUGACGCUGAUGUGCGAAAGCGUGGGGAUCAAACAGGAUUAGAUACCCUGGUAGUCCACGCCGUAAACGAUGAGUGCUAAGUGUUAGGGGGUUUCCGCCCCUUAGUGCUGCAGCUAACGCAUUAAGCACUCCCGCCUGGGG
rnacentral:rRNA from 1 species